CCUUCCUUUUGAGGUAUUUAACCUUAUGGUCAAAUUUCAAAAAGAUCCAUUCACUUAAACUAAAGUUAGAGUGCGAAAACCAAUGUGUCUUCGGACGACGACGACGACAACGUCAUACCAAUAUACGACCAAAAAUUUUUUUUGCGGUCGUAUAAAAAUCUAUAUACAGUCAGAUUUGGCAUAACAAAUAAAUAAAUGUGGUCAAAGAUUUUACAAAUCUAAUGCGCCAUACUGUGCAAUUAAAGAUUACUUCUUGAAAUUUUUCAAUAUUUGAAAUUUGAAAAAAAAAAAAAUAUUUGAAGAAUAAUUCUUUUUAGUUUCUGAAAUCUGAAAUGAGAAAAAAUUGACCCCCCACAAUUUCUUUUUACCCCCCCCCCCCCCCCCCCCCCCCCCCAAAAAAAAAAUUCUUUCCCUCAAGAUAUGGUCAUAAUCUCAAUUCAAAUUUCCAAUGGAAUUUGCAACCAUAGUUACCCAUUUAAAUUUACCAUAGUGCUAACUUAAUCUAUUUUAUAAUAGAAUUUAAAAUAUGGUGUCAAAUCUUUCAUAUGGAUUUUUUUGAAAAAAAAAAAAAAGAUGCAACAUUUGCAGAUAUUUUUACUGGUCUUCCUUUAUAAAUAUGCAUUUCUUUAAACAUAAUUUAAAAGCAGUGUAAGGGAAGUUAUCAAAACGUUGUAUGUGGAUUACCUCCCUUACACUGUUUUCAAUUGUCUUAAUUGUUCAAUAACCAUUACUUUAUAAAUAAUUUAAAAGCAGUGUAAGGGAGAUAAUUUCAAUGAUGUAUUUGAAUUAUCUCCCUUACACUGCUUUAAAUUAUGUUUUGUACUAAAGUAUUUGUCCAUUAACCAGGACAACCUUGUUUUUCCCCCUUUUUUGCCCCUAAUUCCUUAACUGUUUGAGCCAUAACCCCCCAAAGCAAAUCCUAACCAUCCCUUUGUGGUAUGGAAACUUGUAGUAUAAUUUCAGAGAGAUCCAUACACCGUUCCACAGUUAUUGUCUAGAAACUAAAAAAUGCUUAUUUUAAACCCCUUUUUAGGCCCCUUAUUACUAAACGUUUUGGGCAAUUACCACAACACUCAAUUCCAGCUUUCCCUUUGUGAAAUGGAACCUUGUAGUAAAAUUUCAGAAAGAUCCAUACACUUACACACAAGUUAUUGUCAUGAAACUAGAAAAAUGCUUGUUUUUUGCCCCCUUUUGGCCCCUUAUUCCUAAAAUUUUGAGGCAAUUAACCCCAAAAUCAAUCCCAGCAUUGACCCUUUGUGAUAUGGAAUCUUGUGGUACAAUGUCAAGGAGAUCCAUAUGCUAACACACAAGUUAUGUCUGGAAGUUACAAAAAUGCUUAUUUUCGGCCCCUUUUUGGCCCCUAAUUCCUUAACUGUUGGUACCAUAACCCCUAAAAUCAAUCCAAACCUUCCUAUUGUGGUAUUUAACCUUAUGGUAAAAUUUCAAAGAGAUCCAUUCACUUAAACUAAAGUUAGAGUGCGAAAACCAAAGUGUCUUCGGACGACGACGCCAACGUCAUACCAAUAUAAGACCGCAAAAAAUUUUUGCGGUCGUAUAAAAACCUGCGUGACUGACAAAUAGAUCAUAAAAUAUUUCCAUACACCAAAUAUAGUUGAACUAUUGCAUAUAGUUUUAGAAAAAAAGACCAAAACUCAAAAACUUAACUUUGACCACUGAACCAUGAAAAUGAGGUCAAGGUCAGAUGACACCUGCCAGCUAUACAUGUACACCUUACAAUUAUUCCAUACACCAAAUAUAGUAGACCUAUUGCAUACAGUAUAAGAAAAACAGACCAAAACACAAAAACUUAACUAUAACCACUGAACCAUGAAAAUGAGGUCAAGGUCAGAUGACACCUGCCAGCUAGACAUGUACACCUUACAGUCCUUCCAUACACCAAAUAUAGUAGACCUAUUGCAUACAGUAUAAGAAAAACAGACCAAAACACAAAAACUUAACUAUAACCACUGAACCAUGAAAAUGAGGUCAAGGUCAGAUGACACCUGCCAGCUAGACAUGUACACCUUACAGUCCUUCCAUUCACCAAAUAUAGUACACCUAUUGCAUACAGUAUAAGAAAAACAGACCAAAACACAAAAAACUUAACUAUAACCACUGAACCAUGAAAAUGAGGUCAAGGUCAGAUGACACCUGCCAGCUAGACAUGUACACCUUACAGUCCUUCCAUACACCAAAUAUAGUAGACCUAUUGCAUACAGUAUAAGAAAAACAGACCAAAACACAAAAACUUAACUAUAACCACUGAACCAUGAAAAUGAGGUCAAGGUCAGAUGACACCUGCCAGUUGGACAUGUACACCUUACAGUCCUUCCAUACACCAAAUAUAGAAGACCUAUUGCUUAUAGUAUCUGAUAUAUGGACUUGACCACGAAAACUUAACCUUGUUCACUGAUCCAUGAAAUGAGGUCGAGGUCAGGUGAAAACUGUCUGACGGGCAUGAGGACCUUGCAAGGUACACACAUAUUAAAUAUAGUUAUCCUAUUAUUCAUAAUAAGAGAGAAAUUAACAUUACAAAAAAUCUUAACUUUUUUUUCAAGUAGUCACUGAACCAUGAAAAUGAGGUCAAGGACUUUGGACAUGUGACUGACGGAAACUUCGUAACAUGAGGCAUCCAUAUACAAAGUAUGAAGCAUCAAGACCUUCCACCCUCUAAAAUAUAAAGCUUUAAAGAAGUUAGCUAACGCCGCCGCCGGAUCACUAUCCCUAUGUCGAGCUUUCUGCGACAAAAGUCGCAGGCUCUACAAAAAUGCUUGUUUUUGGCCCCUUUUUUGCCCCUUAUUUCUAAACGUUUGGGGCAAUUACCCCCAAACUCAAUCCCAGCCUUCCCUUUGUGGUAUGUAACCUUAUAGUACAAAUUCAGAGAGAUCUAUACACUUAAACACAAGUUAUUGUCUUUAAACUAGAA